UACGUAGGGUGCAAGCGUUGUCCGGAAUUAUUGGGCGUAAAGAGCUCGUAGGCGGUCUGUCGCGUCUGCUGUGAAAAUCCAGGGCUCAACCCUGGACCUGCAGUGGGUACGGGCAGAUUAGAGUGCGGUAGGGGAGAUCGGAAUUCCUGGUGUAGCGGUGAAAUGCGCAGAUAUCAGGAGGAACACCGGUGGCGAAGGCGGAUCUCUGGGCCGUAACUGACGCUGAGGAGCGAAAGCAUGGGGAGCGAACAGG
rnacentral:rRNA from 1 species